rnacentral:tRNA from 1 species
UCCCUGAUAGCUCAGUUGGUAAAGAAUCUGCCUGCAAUGCAGGAGACCCUGGUUCAAAUCCUGAGUCAGGAA